GACGAACGCUGGCGGCGUGCUUAACACAUGCAAGUCGAACGGUAAGGCCCUUCGGGGUACACGAGUGGCGAACGGGUGAGUAACACGUGGGUGAUCUGCCCUGCACUUCGGGAUAAGCCUGGGCAACUGGGUCUAAUACCGGAUAGGACCACUGCCUGCAUGGGUGGUGGUGGAAAGCUUUUGCGGUGUGGGAUGGGCCCGAGGCCUAGCAGCUUGUUGGUGGGGUGAUGGCCUACCAAGGCGACGACGGGUAGACGGCCUGAGAGGGUGACCGGCCACACUGGGACUGAGAUACGGCCCAGACUCCUACAGGAGGCAGCAGUGGGGAAUAUUGCACAAUGGGCGCAAGCCUGAUGCAGCGACGCCGCGUGAGGGAUGACGGCCUUCGGGUUGUAAACCUCUUUCAGCACCGACGAAGCGCAAGUGACGGUAGGUGCGGAAGAAGGACCGGCCAACUACGUGCCAGCCGCCGCGGUAA
rnacentral:rRNA from 1 species